UGUUCCUGCACCACGCUGCGCAGGCUAGCGUCGCCUGUACAGGCAGCUACACACACAUCAGCGCCAUCUGUCUCAAACUACAUCUCAUGAGGAACCUCGUCGACGGGAAAAAUAAUUUUGAAAAUGAAUUCAAUAACCUGUUUAGUUUUGAGACACAACUUACUGGUGGUGUAGGGGACGUUACCCAAGAUCCAAAAAGUAAAAAUAGAUUCUUCAUUAUACCAGACAAAAAGUAUCAACCUCUUUUACAAGUGGAUUCCCCCGGAGAAGAGGGCUAUAUCAAUGCUGUCACAUUACCU